rnacentral:misc_RNA from 1 species
CAUUCCUUUAAGAGAACGCGGCCCGCGCAGUUCUCCCCGGUCAGGAUUGACCGGGCAAAAUCCGCAGCAGGCGCGAUCGUCGUACUUUCCGAGGCACAAGGCAACCCGAUGGGGCAUCCAGGGGAGACAAACACCCCCGCCCUCGUAACAUUCCGCAUCCGAAACCACGAGCAAUAGACAUAUGCGCCGGCGCAGCCAACAGUGGCGUGCGAGGAACACGCGCAUCGCUACGAGGUCGCCCCCUUGCCAUGACAGGCAAAGGACGAAAAGGCACAAGCAUCGAAUUCAAUUUCCACAAUAGUGGGUAAGCAACACAGGAACCUAGCAUCACCACGAAAAGUGUUUCGGGUGGUCGUAUAUGGAGGGAUCGCCGGAGAACAGUUCGGUGCGCGAAGCAUGGAGCCUGCCUUCCCAAACGAUCCUAACACCACUCACGCGC